ACUGACCUUGUUUAUGUGGUAAAAGCUUUUUAUUUAUAUUGAGGAUAGAUGGGCCAAACAUUGUUUCUAACAAGAGAUAUGACCCAAAUAGUAAAAUAGAGCAGAUGCAAAGGGAUAAAAUAUUAGUAUAGAAUUCCUAUUAAAACGUAAUAGAUAGAUAUGGUGGUGUGUAGUGUUUGGAUGAUAGAGAUGAACUUCUAAAAUGUUCUCAGUGUCAGUAGCCACUACAGUGUGCAAAACCUAUUAUUGCAGCUCUUUAAACCUUUUAUUAUUGCAGCUUUUCAAGUGUUUUAUUGUGUGCUCCCAUGACAUACAGGAGUGCUGGGAAACAUUUGCACUCUCCCCCAACCCACAGCUCUUGCAAAUGUCUGUUUGAUUAUGUAUCAUGCAGCAUUUCAUCUCAGACAUGAUUUGGCACUGUUAGGCUCAAUUAUAUAAGCUUUCUUAAUAGUUGAUUUAUUCAAAGCAAAUGAUUAAUUUUCUUUAACAUCAGUUUGGUUUUUGUUUUUGAUUAGGUAUAAUUGUUCGUAUAUUUGUUGGCAACAACGUAAGUUCAGAUGAAUUCUGUUUAGCAAGAUUAUGGGCAGAAAAAUAUUUACCGGCAGAAGAAAGUAGCUGUGGGCAUUAAUUUUAUUCAUUCAAAUCCUAUUAAACUAUAUCAAAUUGCUGUUGUGUAGGCGAUCUAAUAUAUGACUGUGGAAUAUAUUACUUUCCAUAUUUAUUUUUAUUAGUCCGAUCUAAUAUACGGACUGUGGAGUAUAUUACUUUCCGUAUUUUUCUUCAUAGAAUAUCACCCUGUACCAUUAUUCCACAGAACACACUGGGAAGUGCUGUCAUAGAAGAUAGCUGGAAGACAUUCAUGGCAGUGCACAUUUCUUGGAGAUGUGUUUAGUCUUGCUAAGAAGACAAUUAGAAGAUCAUGGGAGCCAGAAGAAAUCUCAAAUCUCUCGCAUUAGACCAUGGUUGACUGAAGGUAACUGAAACCACGAAAAGUGACAGCACAGAUGAGGGGAGAGUACUGUAUCCUCAAAUGAUGGUAUGGCUGGUGAUGGUAACAGCAAGUCUACCAGCCUAGUCAAGCAUUCUUAUCCAUAGAAGAGUUGCCAUGGGAACCUCAUGGCAACCCACAGAUUUCAAGUACUGUAUGUUCUGCCUAAAUAAAUAAUGAAAAGCUAUCUUACUGAAUGUUCUCCAUAUCUGCAUACUUAAUAGGGCAGGAUGCUACCUCACAUAUCAUUUGCAGUAAACAAAGGUAAAAAUGAGAGACAUACAAAAGUAAGAUAAGGAUUACAUAUCUGCAUUUUAAAAGCACAUUCCGUGUUAACUAAUUAUGUUUUCAUUUCAUUCUGGAUCAGAAGAUCAGACACACAUCAUUGCUUAUUCAGACCUCACCUGAUCCUAUUUAUAGGCCCCUCUCAAACUCACUGAAGAUGACAGUAAUCUCUAUAUCUAUGCAGAGUGUGAGGUAAUUCUAGGAGACACCUUUCUGUGCAAAAUGUCAGGUGUUAGCUCCCCAUGGAGCACUCUCUCCUUGCCACUUGGGGACCUCACAGAAACAAGUCAUAGCAUUCUUUUUUUAGGCUGUGAGGUAGGGUUAGAUCAUCCUCACUUUUCUGUUACCACUUGUGUUCUUUCUGUAUGUGCUUUUUAAAUUCACUAACUAAUAGAAAAAUGCUUUGAAUACAUUAUUAACCUCACAAGAGGAUUUUUUUUCUUCCUAGACAUUGAAAUAUUUUAGACACUAGAAAAUAAAGGAUUUUUAAUAAAUGGAGUGUAACUACUCAAAACUUUUUUCUUCUUUCCCCAAAGUGAAUAAAUAACAAUUGUAGGCUAAUGUUUCAGAUUAGCAUAGGUAGAUAAUAUUAGUUUUUAAUCAUGAAAUUAUUUUAAGUGCAUCAUUUGAGAGAAUUUAUGGUAUAAAUUCUCUAUAAAUUUUAUAUUUGAUAAGAAAUACGAAGAUAGAAGCUAAUGAAGAGGGAGAAGAACUAAGUAUUCUUGAGUUGUUUGUGAAAGUAGUAAUUUAAUCGAAGUUGUAUUCACUUAGCCCCUCCAAGAUUAAGUUUCCAUGUGAAAAAAAAAAAAAAAAGGGUGAAAAGGAGAGCACCAAAACCUUACAUGACUGGAGAUGAUUUAAUAAAAAGCUUGUUUCUGCUCCUCACUGAAAUGCCUUGGAAUAUGAUAAGUACAGUCAGAAAGUUUUUAAUAUUUACUCUCAACAUACAGUAAAGAUUUAGGAAGAGAAAGGACGGAAUAGGGAACUCAGUCUUCCUAAGCCUAAUUUCAUUAAGAAACUUAACAAAGGGAAAAGACACUAAGCCCUUUUCUUGUAAGAAACUCACCUGAAAAGGGAAGGGAUCCAAAUAUGAACAAGAACAGUGACUUAGCACUGGCUUCUCAAGAAGAUAUGUUUUCGUCUGGUGCAUAAUGCCUGGCACAUAGUAGGCCCACAGAGAGUAUUCACUGAAUGAGGGAAUGCAUGAUAGAAUACAUUAGAGAGUGUAUUUUUGCCUGUGUUAACUUUAAUUGAAUACAUUUUAAGAAUAAUAUGUUACUCUUUGAAAACCCAUAUUCUAUUAGUUUUAUAAAGCAUAAUGGAAGAAAAUAUCAGUGAAGCACCAUUUAUUUUAAUUGUAAAGAUUUCUUGAUUUAUCAACCAAUAUGGAGGACAUUUUUGACUAAGUGAAAAAACAGGUUAGUGUAAAUCUUAGCAAUUAUUUCUUUAAUCUGUGACUGGCUUUCUCUUAUUGAAUUCAGUGCUUAACAUUUGAAUAUUAUUUUCUUUUCAUAAUUGAAGUUGGGGAGUAAGAGAUGUUCUCCAGGUGUCAACUAUUGUUUUAGGAGGCUUCAAAAGAAACAUGAGCAAGCUAUUGGCUAAUGGGCUUGAAUUAAUGGUUAUUGGAAAGUUAAAGAUGUACCAUAUGCCAUGAUCUAGGUACCUACAGCCAUUUCUCUGUUCUUUCUCCAUAUCCUUGUCUCUCAUUCUUCCACAAUCCUUCCCUGCCUAUAAGCAAUUACAGUGAAAAAUGCUGGAGUAGAAUGACAUAAGAUCUUUUAAGGUCAAGGGCCAGGUGAUUUCAGAUACUAUGACUUUUCAGAAAGCCCAAAUAAGUUAUUUCCUUACUUACAUCGCUGUUGAUAUAUGCAAAUUAUGUUGCAUGCAGGAAGAAAAAAAAAUUUUCUUAAUUUCCACACUCUAGCAAGCUAAAUGGUUUGAAAUAUACUUGACAAUGUUCUGCAAUAUUGAAAGUAGUAUCUAUUUCUGAUGUUUCAAUUCCUGUAUGUCAAACAUUAUCAAAGAGGGCAAUAUCGCCCCCAAGGGGAUAAAACUUCAUUAUUGGAAGGUGGAAAGUUCUUAUCUUUUUAAUGUACAAUAUUAAGCACAGACAUACAUACAGUAAUUACAGAUACAGCAUAUCUGGGGUAUUAUAAUUUCAUAGUGGGGGAUUAGGGAAAAAAUAUCUAAAAAGGCUCCUUGGCAAGCAGGGUGGAGGGGAUAACCAAAAAAGCUUAAGAAACACUAUUGUACAUUGUGCUUUCCAUUUAUUAAAAAAAUCUUAUUCUCCCCAGGUUCAGGCUAAUGGAACAAAUAAUAGAGAACUAAUAGUCCUAUGGGAACCAUUUUUUUAAAAUAGUCGAGCAAUGUAGGACUCUCAGGUAAAAGCUUCUUUACAGACUGUGCUUAGAUCUGGGACUGAAGUGAGGUCCAUAUUGUUUGAAUUGUAGUCAAGUCAUUCCUACAAGACGAUCUAAACCUGAAACAGAAAGAGGGAAAGCUCUGUCCUGGAGAGAAAAUUGCACAGCGAGAGCACAGUGUACCUGGACACAGAGUGAAAGAGCAGGCUGAAGGAGCCUGCUGUAUCUGAGCACAGGCUGCUCUCAGCAAGUACACAUAGAGACUUGCUUUUGGGCCCAAUGAUCCCCUUUACUAGCAAAAUGACGUAAGUAGCAAGAGUCUCAAAGUGCUAGGCACAGUGGCUCAUGCCUGUAAUCCCAACCCUUUGGGAGGCCAAGGCGGGCGGAUCACUUGAAGUCCAGAGCUUAAGACCAGCCUGGCCAACACGGUGAAACCCCGCCUGUACUAAAAGUACAAAAAUUAGCCAGGUGUGGUGGCAGGUGCCUGUAAUCCCAGCUACUCGGGAGGCUAAGGCAGGAGAAUCACUUGAACCCAGGAGGCGGAGGUUGCAG
rnacentral:lncRNA from 10 species